UUUUUNNNCNNNUCAGGAUGAACGCUGGCGGCGUGCCUAAUACAUGCAAGUCGAACGCUUUGUGGUUCAACUGAUUUGAAGAGCUUGCUCAGAUAUGACGAUGGACAUUGCAAAGAGUGGCGAACGGGUGAGUAACACGUGGGAAACCUACCUCUUAGCAGGGGAUAACAUUUGGAAACAGAUGCUAAUACCGUAUAACAAUAGCAACCGCAUGGUUGCUACUUAAAAGAUGGUUCUGCUAUCACUAAGAGAUGGUCCCGCGGUGCAUUAGUUAGUUGGUGAGGUAAUGGCUCACCAAGACGAUGAUGCAUAGCCGAGUUGAGAGACUGAUCGGCCACAAUGGGACUGAGACACGGCCCAUACUCCUACGGGAGGCAGCAGUAGGGAAUCUUCCACAAUGGGCGAAAGCCUGAUGGAGCAACGCCGCGUGUGUGAUGAAGGGUUUCGGCUCGUAAAACACUGUUGUAAGAGAAGAAUGACAUUGAGAGUAACUGUUCAAUGUGUGACGGUAUCUUACCAGAAAGGAACGGCUAAAUACGUGCCAGCAGCCGCGGUAAUACGUAUGUUCCAAGCGUUAUCCGGAUUUAUUGGGCGUAAAGCGAGCGCAGACGGUUAUUUAAGUCUGAAGUGAAAGCCCUCAGCUCAACUGAGGAAUUGCUUUGGAAACUGGAUGACUUGAGUGCAGUAGAGGAAAGUGGAACUCCAUGUGUAGCGGUGAAAUGCGUAGAUAUAUGGAAGAACACCAGUGGCGAAGGCGGCUUUCUGGACUGUAACUGACGUGAG
rnacentral:rRNA from 1 species